GCCUUGGAAGGUGGGGAUCUGCUUUUUUAUUCCAUCCAACAGGUCCUCAAUACAAACUGCACAGAACACCAAUCUCACAUGAAGCAUCAUACCUCAGUAUCACGAGAUGUCCCUGCUCUCCUCCCCAAAAGCAUCACCUUCCCCCAGAGUUCACCUGGGCAGAGACAGACUUGCUCCUGUACAACCUUCUGCUUUGUGGUCCACAUUUAAGAGCUUGGUUAGUUAGGGUUUUCACUGAUACCUGCUCCCCUAGAGCUUACUUCCUGACAAUAGCCAGGACUACAGUGAUCAAACGCCACCCCCCCAGCUUAACAGCUUAUAUCAUUUUACUACUAGUGGCUUUCUCCCACCAUUUUUCAGUUCCUGACUCGUACAUUAUUUAUAACAGAGGUAUCAAAAUAAUUUGGCUCCAUGGGUCAAAUCCCUAUCCAAUUCUGGCAGUGCAGCAAGCAGUAGCAGUAUUAGCCACUGUGGGUUCAUUGGGAAUGACGCAUCACACGAUAAACAGAUGCAUAUCAUAGGGAGGUGGGAAUUACCCACAUAAUAAUAUACACAUGUUCCCUGAGAACUGAAUAGAAGAACGUAUUCAGAUUAUUAGGAGAAACUUCCUCACCAGGAGAGUGGUAAAGCACUGGAACAGGCUACCCAGAGAGGUUGUGGAAUCUCCAUCUUUGGAAGUUUUUAAGAUCCGGCUUGACAAAGCUUUGGCCGGGAUAAUAUAGUUGGGUUUGGUCCUACUUUAAGCAGGGGGUUAGACUAGAUGACCUCCUGAGGCCCCUUCCACCCCUAAUUUUCUAUGAUUAUGUGAUUGUAGAUGAAUGGAUAAGGUGAAGGUACUUAACACAUACCUGGAAUGAAAAAUGGUUGUCUAAGGAUUUGUGGGCUUUGGAUAACUAAGGCCCCUGCUGAUGGAGGCUGGAUAGUGCAAGCUAACAAGUUAAAUGCAGAAAACUGAUGGAGUCCAAGGCAGAAGCUGCAUUUUAGGGUAAGGUGCACGGUAAGAUCAUAUCUAAUUCUUACAAGUUUUUGUUCUUAUGUUUCUGUCUGUCUCAAUAUUCCUGCUUUUAAGAUUUCUCUUGUUUAUGUAAUACAUCCUUUUGUUAUAUCUUAGACCUUACUGAUCAUCUGUGCGAAGGGGCAUUUCAGAGCAACUGGCAAAUACAGACUGGUUAUUCCUAUGGUGGUUGUCACCCUUUCUCGAGAAGCAUCCCAUUUUUGACAAGAGAUUCUGAAUCCUGCACACCUACCCAGCAGCAUGUUAAAGAAUCCCUGAGACUCUUCAGGACACAGCAAACACCAUGACGCAGCAGUAAUAAAGUGACAUCAGGACAACCACCUUAUAACAAGCUGAUGGACUUUCAGGAGGGCUCUUCCAAGCCUGUGUUCCUUAAGUUAACUGCUUAACAUAAACCUUCAAAAUUACAAACCUUAUAUUAAACCUAUGCACAACUGGAGUAUAGUUCAGGGCAGUCAGGCUGGCCUCUCCAAUUAACUAACUCACAGUAGCCUUACCAUCCCAGGUUAGCUGGGAUUUUUCCUGAAAAUGACCCAUGGUAAAGCCAUUGACAUAAUUUAAAUUAUUACUAUGUUUUCUGACACACAGCAUGCCCUGGAAUAUGCACAUCUUGUUUGUGAAAGGCAGAAUGAAGACAUUUUUUUCCCCCAGAGCUAUGGCCUUAAAGAGCAGGGACACAGUCUAAUCUUCAGGUGACUCAGCCUCUUUUUCCUGCUUAGGUUGUGAAAUAGGAGGGAAGAGAUUAGGAGCAGGUAGCAGAGAGCAAAAUUGCCCUCAUAAAGGUUAGUAAGGUUAGUGGAACAUCAAAAGCAUGAUGUUCCACUAAUCAAAACGAUCAGAACCAUUAAAUCAACAAUCAGGGAAAUGUUGGUAAAGCAAACCAGCUCAAUCAGAUUAGACUCAGCAUUUGUGUAUUCAAGAAUUAAGAAGGUCCUCCAAGAUGGAGAAGAGAUGGUAACUUGUAUGUAAACUCAGGGGGGAAACAAACAAAUACACAAACAGUAAGAUAAAGGAAAGGGGUUAGGAAAAAAAUCAUAUACACACCAGUUCUUUUGACUCUGGUAGACUUAAUGCUCCCACGUGAAUGAUCACAUGUUCCAACCUGUACAAAAGAAAAAACAAAGAAUCAUGGGAAUUUAGCAUUGGUGAAGGGUACCAGCGAAUUUGGCUCCCCCACACCCCUCCAGCUCGGUGACUGGUGCCUUCUGGGUCUGGUGGGGGCACCUGGGGUCCCCCUGCAGCCGAUCGCUGAACCAAAGUGGCAUGGGGGGCCCCCCUGCGUGCUCCCCAGCGGGACCGGAAUUAGUUCUGGAAGUGGACCAGAAGUAGUUCUCGUCCACUCUUGGGUUCGCCAGCAAGCAUGUGGAGGGCCGCCCCGCAUUCCCGUGGGACACUCCAUGCACCCCAGCACUGCAGCAUGCACAUACCGCACCUCCUACCUCAAGGUAUAUAAAAACUUUUAAAGCUGUGUCUGUGUCCAGAUCGCUGAUUCUCUGAAUCAGCACUGAAUCUUCAGAUUCGGAUUCUGCCAAAUUCAAUUAGGGCAGUGAUCCAAAUCAACGAAUUGAAUCACUGCCCCUAAUUCAGGCCGAAUUUGAAUCCAAAUCAAAUAGGGCCCGUUUCGCACACCCCUACUGUACAUCUCUGUGAAGUGCUAUCAUUCCACUUCCUGGUGCUUGACACCACUUUACACAGAUAAAAAUGAAUGUGCAGAAUAUCUAUCGUGUUCAGCAAAUUUGGAAAGCUAAUCUUAAAGCGGGAUAAAGAAACACACAUUAUUUUUUCAAGGGAAAUGUCAUAUAUUUUUAACUAGAAACUAAACCCAGACUUCUCUUGGGAACAUACAAAUCACACACACUCUCCUCAUCCUACCUUCUGAAAUAUUUUUGUCUUCUCAUUUCUGCCCCACUUCCCAAAGAAUAAUCUCUAAAAUUUAAAGCCAAAUAAAAACUUUCUGGCAAAA